AGAUUCCAGACAAUUUGAACUCAUUUUAUACAAAUCCAUAGUACAUCCGCAAUUUUUAUGCGACACUUACAACAUCUAGAAUUUAAAACGUGUUUGGAGAUGAUGCUGAUUCGAUUAUAUUUUGUCGGAAAAUAAUUUUAUUUGGAGCAAUGGGAUAUAUAUGAGAUACCGCGCGAGGUUAGUGAUUGGUGAGCAUUUAAUACAAUCAAGCACAUUUACGACUUUAACAUUCCUCAGAUACAGGCAAAUAUAUUAAAUCGUUCAGGUGCAACCGUAUUCAAAGGAGAGCUGGGCACAUACAAUUCGUCGGUGUUACUUAUUUUCUUGCAAAAUCAUGAAAUUUAGUCAUGAUACUAACUGUAAAAGUGAACACUUUUUAGACUAGUUUCACUACUGAAUGUCAUAGACUUAAGCAUCAUACACAUUAGUAUAAUUAGUUAACACGUCGAGCUUGAGACAAAUGCGACUGACGUUCUCCUCAACGAUCAAACCUGCCCGACGAGUAUUCACACUGGACUGAAGCACUUGAAUGGUAGAAAGAGUGACUACGCUUGCGUAAACUUCGACCGGCUAGUUGUCUUAUGAAUUAUUUCAUGAGAAAUUAAUAUAUAUUGAAUUUCUUUAAUUUGAAUUUGUUUAAUUUGAAUAUUGAAUUUUAUGUUAAUAAUUGUAAUUGUUUCUGUUGCAAAGAUAUUAAAAUUACCAUUUUGGCUAUAGAUGGAUUGUUCACGGUUUCCCUUAGCAAAAAAUACAUCGUGGAUUGGAAUAUAUUCACCGUAGGAUAUUCCGAGUAGGCAACAGAAUUCAUUAUAGUGGGUUAACAUAG